rnacentral:rRNA from 1 species
CCUACGGGAGGCAGCAGUGAGGAAUAUUGGUCAAUGGCCGGAAGGCUGAACCAGCCAAGCCGCGUGAAGGACGAAGGUGCCAAGCAUUGUAAACUUCUUUUGUCAAGGGACAAAAUCAGGCUCGAGAGCCUGACCGAGGGUACUUGAAGAACAAGCAUCGGCUAACUCCGUGCCAGCAGCCGCGGUACUACGGGGGAUGCGAGCGUUAUCCGGAUUUAUUGGGUUUAACGGGUUCGUAGGCGGACUGUUAAGUCAGCGGUAAAAGCCCGGGGCUCAACCCCGGCGAGCCGUUGAAACUGGCGGUCUGGAGAUGUCGAGAGGUAUGCGGAAUGCGCAGUGUAGCGGUGAAAUGCUUAGAUAUUGCGCAGAACUCCGAUUGCGAAGGCAGCAUACCGGCGGCGAUCUGACGCUGAGGCACGAAAGCGUGGGUAUCGAACAGGAUUAGAUACCCUGGUAGUC